rnacentral:rRNA from 1 species
AUUGAACGCUGGCGGCAGGCCUAACACAUGCAAGUCGAACGCGUGGCGGACGGGUGAGUAAUGUCUGGGAAACUGCCCGAUGGAGGGGGAUAACUACUGGAAAAGGUAGCUCAUACCGCAUACCAUCGGAUGUGCCCAGAGUGGAUUAGCUACGCGGUGGGGUAAAGGCUCACCUAGGCGACGAUCCCUAGCUGGUCUGAGAGUAUGAACAGCCACACUGGAACUGAGACACGGUCCAGACUCCGACGGGAGGCAGCAGUGGGGAAUAUUGCACAAUGGGCUCAAGCCUGAUGCAGCCAUGCCGCGUGUAUGAAGAAGGCCUUCGGGUUGUAAAGUACUUUCAGCGGGGAGGCGUUACCCGCAGAAUAAGCACCGGCUAACUCCGUGCCAGCAGCCGCGGUAAUAC